UACAGGGGUUUCAAGCGUUGUUCGGAUUCAUUGGGCGUAAAGGGUGCGUAGGUGGCGCCGUAAGUCGGGGGUGAAAUUUCGGAGCUUAACUCCGAAACUGCAUUCGAUACUGCGGUGCUUGAGGACUGGAGAGGAGACUGGAAUUCAUGGUGUAGCAGUGAAAUGCGUAGAGAUCAUGAGGAAGACCAGUGGCGAAGGCGGGUCUCUGGACAGUUCCUGACACUGAGGCACGAAGGCCAGGGGAGCAAACGGG
rnacentral:rRNA from 1 species